UGGACAAAAUGGCCACCUCCGUUUGUGAUGUUAAAUUUGUCAGAAUUGUGAUCAUGAGCAUCAGUUACAUGCUCAUAUUCACCGCAUUUCAGACAUCGUCAAUGUUAGAGCAAAGUGUGAUUGAUGGUGCCAAAGCAGAACCAAACAGUACAUUCACAGGAGAUGGCUUCAUCAGUCUUGCCACAAUAUAUGCUGUGUUUGCAGCAUCUAAUUGGGGUGCUCCAUCAGUUAUUAGCGUGCUCGGCCCCAAAAUUUCCAUGAUGGUUGGUGGUGUGCCAUACUUGUUAUUAGUUGCAUCGUUUCUGAGGCCAAUGACAUGGGCCCUAUAUACUGGGUCGGUCUUGGUGGGUCUUGGUGCGUCAGUUCUUUGGACAGCUCAAGGAAACUUCCUGACCCUAAAUUCUGACACGAACACCAUAACCAGAAAUAGUGGCGUGUUCUGGGCAUUAAUGCAAUCCAAUCUUGUAAUUGGUAACCUCUAUGUGUACCUUGCAUUCAAAGGAGACAUCACCAUAACAUCUGAAAUGCGGACAACGCUCUACUUAAUCCUUUCAUCCAUCUGCCUCGGAGGAAUUGCGUUGCUCUUUGUUUUGUUUUGUUUGCGGUCUCCAUCGACGGAGUCCGAUAUCACACCAAUACAAGGAAAAGAUAGUCGGGAACCGCUCUGUGCUGAAAAAACAGGCGACCCAGCUCCUAUUGAAGAAGACGACAGCAGUGGGCCUUGGCAGGCUUUUAAAAGUUCCUUGAGUUUGCUUGGUACCAAACAGAUGCUUCUGCUAACUUUCACCUUUGGAUUCACUGGGCUUCACCUGACGUUCUUCAGUGGUGUGUAUGGGACCUGUGUUGGGCACACUCUCCAACUUGGGGAUAAUGCCAAAAGCUACAUAGGAUUCUGUGGCAUUUUUAUUGGAGUUGGUGAAAUAGUUGGUGGGUUGAUCUUCAGUAUAUUUGGGAAGCGUACCCAAAAAUAUGGAAGGGAUCCUAUCAUCUUACUCGGCUUUAUUGCCAACAUAGGUGCAUACUUUCUCAUUUUCCUAAAUCUUCCUGACAGUUCACCUUUUGGAAAUACAACAGAUUUUGCACACAUUCAGUCAAAUGUUGGAGUUGCAGUUAUCUCUGCCUUCUUACUAGGUUUUGGGGACAGCUGUUUCAAUACACAGCUGUUUUCGAUCUUGGGAGAUAUUUACCGAGAAGAAAGUUCACAAGCCUUUGCUUUAUUCAGAUUUGUACAAUCCCUGACGGCAGCGGCAGGAUUUUUCUAUAGUAACCACAUCUCCCUACAAUGGCAGCUCCUUAUAUUAGUCAUCACUAGCGUUUUGGCUAUCGCGACAUUCAUACCCGUUGAGUGGAAGAAUAUACAUCCUCGCGCUGGCUAUAGUAACUUGGAAUCGGAAGAAAAGAGGUAGAACUGUUCAUUCUAGAUCUGCGGAGGGAGUUGCCCUUGUUCCUAAAGAGUCUUUUGGUACCUUUUCUGUUUCUAGUGAAGAGGUGAAUGGAAAAUGAAGACACAGAAUAUAAAAAAAGGAAUCAUCCCUCUAUUUGCUUGGUUGGUGCUUUCUCCUGUAAUAGAGCCAUUGGGUUGGGUUUGGUGCCAAGAAUUUUUAUCUUGAAUUUCUUUGUCAAUAACUGUGAUAUUUCCGGCCACAAGGCAGCAAAUAGGAUACAAACAUUUUAUAAGUUUGCCGUCUUGUAGUGUAAGUGCUGUCCACAGGUCACAUUGUCCCGUGACUAACAAAAGGUGAUAUUCACAGUCAUAAAUGAGUUGGGCAAAUCUGAUGUAUUUCUGUCUUUUGGAUAUGAAUAAGGGGGUUACCUCUUUAUUCUCAUAUUUGGACUGCCUCAAACUAUAACCGGUACUUGUCAGGGACCCAUUCCGCAUGUCUAUGUAUUCUAAAUUGAAAGUGUGAGAUGACUGAAUUGCUUCAGUGUUUGAAUAAGGGUUUUUGUGCAAGAUUUGGGUUCCAUAGAUGCAAAUAAUGGUCUGUUGUUGGUUGAGCAAAGGGGAGGGGUAUUGUCCUAUGGUGGCAGAGCUUUUCAAUGUGCUGCUCCAACCCUGUGGAAUCAACUUCCUGCCAAUAUCAGGAAGGUCGAGAGCACAUCUGUUUUUGCUCGCCAUCUCAAAACCUUCCUCUUUGCUCGCUACAAUAGACAAACAUAAUUUCUGUACAGUGUCACUGAUCACAAUUCUGUGGAAUCUGGCACUUUAAAUACUAAUCAUUUUCAUUCAUUUUCAUUUUCAAAUACUGUAAUAUCUGUUAAGGAGUGGUGGCAACACAACCUUAUGUAAUAAGUCAUGUGCAGCUACUUAAAAUUUGCGACAGUUCCUGACCUGCAAUGUACAUGUAGCAAUCAUAACUGUUGAAAAGUAGGUGGAUAAAGUUUGCGAUUGUGAUUAGUCUCAUAUCCAUUCACAGAUGACGGCAUUCACCAAAAGUCGAUGCUCAGAUCAGAAGAUCAAUUACUCCAAGCGCAGACUGUCAGUGAACAGUGUUGUUUGUAUAUGAUUGGGAAGACCAAUCACACUGUGGUACUCUACUAGUAUAUGUAUGUGAAUGUAGUCGAGUGAGAAAUUUCCCUCUUUUUAUGUCCCUUCUCCUUUUGCAUUCGUCGGUCUAAUCAUUGCAAAAUUGUGCUCUAACUUUCAUGAUCAGACAAGUGUCAUAUAUCUGCCAUUUUAAUUUUAACUUUAAGCGUGGUGCCGAAUGCAAUGUUGCCAGCUUUAGUGAUCCCCUUUAAAGGUCCUUGCAUUUAAGAAGUGUGGACUGGAGAUUACAGAAAUUAUAAAAAGCCAUACAAGACACAAAUCCCAAAGUUAUAUGAUGAUGCAUAAUCUGUUAGUGUUUUUGAAAUGGUGCCUUGUUCUUUUAUUUCAUAUUGAAGGUUGUCAGUAUUAUCUUUCUAUGAUGUACAAUGUAGAUCUGUUAUGCAUGUAGAACUUAGUUGCUUUGAGUAUUUGCAAAUAGUAGACGCGAAGCAGGUAUUCGUGGCAUGCUUUCAGCCUUCAGAAUUGAGAGGCACAUCGCAUUGUGUGCACUUGGGUAUCAAUAGUCUCUUGAUUUGAGUUUUUAAUUCUUUGCCAUGGUUUUCUUUUCUUGUUGGGUUUGCUUGUAUCCAACAAUUGGUGCUAUUGACAAAAUUGAUAGUGCACAUACGGGUCUGUGAAUUCUAUUUUCUACAUAGUUCCUUUAGAUGGGAAAUAAUUAUGGGGAUUUUACAUAGUUUUUAUAUACUUGACGCUUGCUAGCUUUUAUGAAUUGAAAAUACCAGGAUGAUGUGAUAUGAUUUUAAAUCGACAUUGAAUAUGACGUUACUUCUGUGCAUGCCUAUUUAUCUGACUGAUAUCUAUCAGUCUCUCAUCCAUAUGGCCUUUGGGGCUUGAAUUGGUGCUGAAAUUCACAAAAAUUUGUAGGGGUUAGAUAGGAAAGUAAUAAAGAUAAUAUUGAAAGACUAAA